UUUUAUACAUUUUCUUGAAUUUGCAGAGUGAAUUACAUAAUUUUAAUUCCUUAUCACAAUUAUUCCAUAGAUUUACCCCUUUAACAGAUAAACACCUACUUUUUGCAUUAGUUCUUGCCCUUACUUUUUUUAAACAUACAAUCCUCUUAGAUUAUACUGACUUUCUCUUAUUUUGAACAGCCUCUGAAUACAAUUUGAUCAAAUUAUAUACU